CGGAUUGAGGGAGGGAUGGAGCGAUUCGGGAUCCAGAGUUGUCAUAAUGUUGGUUUCGGAUGAGUGUAGCAGGCUUGAAUUGCCUAAGAACUCCGAGAGGGAGGAUACACAAAGGGAGUACGCAGUGGGAAAGUUGUGACACCAUUUGGCCAGGGACUUUUCAAUGUUGUAGGUUGGAGGACACAUCUUCUCGACAGUGGGUUGGGCUGACAGGGGAUCUUUGUGUUUUGACAUAUGCGGGGACUCUGGGGCAUGCCGGGUUGACAAUUUAAGCUGUAGAGAUAUAGUCAGGUAACUUACUAUUCUUAAGGAGCCUGUUAACUUUUGCGACAAGUGCAUCCGUAGGGUUCUUAGGUAGGACUUCUGCCUUCGAAUCAUGUAUGAAUCGCAUAAUAUGGGUGUCGUAGGAACUUUUUUAAGGAGAAAAAGUUUCUUAGACUUAUCUUCUCUUGUUAUAAUUAGUUCUUGGUCUAAGAGCCAGUUAAAUAUCCAUUAUACCUUGACGUCAAUCAGCAGGGGGAUCUUGGUAAUGAGCCUUCUUCUUACUGUGUUCAUUAAUGAAAGACCAUCUUAGCCUUUCAGCAUCCAAAUAGUUAAACUGUUCAACAAGCCUUUCAAAAAUAGGUAUAUCAUCUAGUAUCUUAGGCGGUUUAAAUAAUGCACAAGCCAGGCCCUUACAGAUAAUUGUCUGCAGCUAAAAUUGUCAAUUCGGCAUGCCCUGGAGUCUUUGCAUGUGUCAAAACACAUAAAGAUCCCAUCAGCCCAACCCAUUGUCGAGAAGAUGUGUUAUCCAACUUAUAACAUUGAGGGGUCUCUGGCUGAAUGAUGUCACAACUUUCUUACACCAUACCCCCUUU
rnacentral:lncRNA from 1 species